rnacentral:rRNA from 1 species
UACGGGGGGGGCAAGCGUUGUUCGGAAUUACUGGGCGUAAAGGGCUCGUAGGCGGCCCACUAAGUCCGACGUGAAAUCCCCAGGCUUAACUUGGGAACUGCGUCGGAUACUGGUGGGCUUGAAUCCGGGAGAGGGAUGCGGAAUUCCAGGUGUAGCGGUGAAAUGCGUAGAUAUCUGGAGGAACACCGGUGGCGAAGGCGGCAUCCUGGACCGGCAUUGACGCUGAGGUGCGAAAGCGUGGGGAGCAAACAGG